rnacentral:rRNA from 1 species
GUGGGGAAUCUUGCGCAAUGGGCGAAAGCCUGACGCAGCCAUGCCGCGUGAAUGAUGAAGGUCUUAGGAUUGUAAAAUUCUUUCACCGGGGACGAUAAUGACGGUACCCGGAGAAGAAGCCCCGGCUAACUUCGCGCCAGCAGCCGCGGUAAUACGAAGGGGGCUAGCGUUGCUCGGAAUUACUGGGCGUAAAGGGCGCGUAGGCGGACAGUUUAGUCAGAGGUGAAAGCCCAGGGCUCAACCUUGGAAUUGCCUUUGAUACUGGCUGUCUUGAGUACGGGAGAGGUGAGUGGAACUCCGAGUGUAGAGGUGAAAUUCGUAGAUAUUCGGAAGAACACCAGUGGCGAAGGCGACUCACUGGCCCGUUACUGACGCUGAGGCGCGAAAGCGUGGGGAGCAAACAGGAUUAGAAACCCCGGUAGUCC